rnacentral:lncRNA from 10 species
CAAGGUUUGGUGCCAGAGAUUUUGGUGGCUUCCAAGACUGCUUUUUCAGAGACAGGCUCAUGGACACAGCACGGAUUGCAGUUGUCGGGGCAGGUGUGGUGGGGCUCUCCACGGCUGUGUGCAUCUCCAAACUGGUGCCCCGAUGCUCCGUUACCAUCAUUUCAGACAAGUUUACUCCAGAUACCACCAGUGAUGUGGCAGCCGGAAUGCUUAUUCCUCACACUUAUCCAGGGAAGAGGGUUCCAUGUCCUGCCUGGGGAAGAUGAAGGCCCGGAUGCCAGCUGGCAUUUGAGAAGGUGACAGGGGAAGAGGCUG